UACGUAGGGAGCAAGCGUUGUCCGGAAUCAUUGGGCGUAAAGCGCGCGUAGGCGGCCCUGUAAGUCCGUUGUGAAAGUCAAAGGCUCAACCUUUGAAAGCCGAUGGAUACUGCAGGGCUAGAGUCCGGAAGAGGCGAGUGGAAUUCCUGGUGUAGCGGUGGAAUGCGCAGAUAUCAGGAGGAACACCAAUAGCGAAGGCAGCUCGCUGGGACGGUACUGACGCUAAGGCGCGAAAGCGUGGGGAACGAACAGG
rnacentral:rRNA from 1 species